rnacentral:rRNA from 1 species
CCUACGGGAGGCAGCAGUGAGGAAUAUUGGUCAAUGGACGCAAGUCUGAACCAGCCAUGCCGCGUGAAGGAAGACGGCUCUAUGAGUUGUAAACUGCUUUUGUACGGGAGUAAACUCAGAUACGCGUAUCUGUCUGUAAGUACCAUAUGAAUAAGGAUCGGCUAACUCCGUGCCAGCAGCCGCGGUAAUACGGAGGAUACAAGCGUUAUCCGGAUUUAUUGGGUUUAAAGGGUGCGUAGGCGGACGGAUAAGUCAGAUGUGAAAGCCUGAGGCUCAACCUGGGAAUUGCCGUUGAUACUGGGUGUCUAGAGUGUAGCUGAGGUAGGCGGAAUGCAUGGUGUAGCGGUGAAAUGCUUAGAGAUC